rnacentral:rRNA from 1 species
AGAGUUUGAUCCUGGCUCAGGAUGAACGCUGACAGAAUGCUUAACACAUGCAAGUCAACUUGAACUUCGGUUUGGGUGGCGGACGGGUGAGUAACGCGUAAAGAACUUGCCUCACAGAUAGGGACAACAUUUGGAAACGAAUGCUAAUACCUGAUAUUAUGAUUUUAGGGCAUCCUAGGAUUAUGAAAGCUAUAUGCGCUGUGAGAGAGCUUUGCGUCCCAUUAGCUAGUUGGAGAGGUAACGGCUCACCAAGGCGAUGAUGGGUAGCCGGCCUGAGAGGGUGAUCGGCCACAAGGGGACUGAGACACGGCCCUUACUCCUACGGGAGGCAGCAGUGGGGAAUAUUGGACAAUGGACCAAGAGUCUGAUCCAGCAAUUCUGUGUGCACGAUGAAGUUUUUCGGAAUGUAAAGUGCUUUCAGUUGGGAAGAAAAAAAUGACGGUACCAACAGAAGAAGUGACGGCUAAAUACGUGCCAGCAGCCGCGGUAAUACGUAUGUCACAAGCGUUAUCCGGAUUUAUUGGGCGUAAAGCGCGUCUAGGUGGUUAUGUAAGUCUGAUGUGAAAAUGCAGGGCUCAACUCUGUAUUGCGUUGGAAACUGUGUAACUAGAGUACUGGAGAGGUAAGCGGAACUACAAGUGUAGAGGUGAAAUUCGUAGAUAUUUGUAGGAAUGCCGAUGGGGAAGCCAGCUUACUGGACAGAUACUGACGCUGAAGCGCGAAAGCGUGGGUAGCAAACAGGAUUAGAUACCCUGGUAGUCCACGCCGUAAACGAUGAGUGCUAAGUGUUGGAGGGUUUCCGCCCUUCAGUGCUGCAGUUAACGCAUUAAGCACUCCGCCUGGGGAGUACGACCGCAAGGUUGAAACUCAAAG